ensembl:lncRNA
CGCAGGUUAACAAACUUCCAUAUGUAAAAGUAAAGGGGGAAAAAUGUCAUUCAUUCACACUGGGCUUUAUAAGCCUAUAAAACUCUUCAAAGGACUUCAAGAUAUCAAGCAAUCUUUUAUUCAGUUAAACCUACCCCCCACCUUCACUCUUACACACACUUAAAUACGCAGUAUGCUCACAGCUUGGAAAAAAGCAAGAAAAGCCUUAAUGGAUCACUGAUUUUUAACCAAAGAGGUAGAUUAUUGCGAUAAGGAAACUCUUGUGUCACGACCCGCUGGCGUCUGGCUAAUCCGAUGACCUAACUACCUUCCCCUCUGUGUCAUACACUCUGUCCCUGAGCUGGGAAUUGCAAAGGAGGAGCACAGGCAAAGGUCACGCCACAAAGGGGAGAAACUGGGGCUGACAGAAAUGGCCAUCCUUUCCUUGGAGAAUUGUUUUUGGCUGCACAUGAAGGAGAAGUUUUGGCUUUUCAGAACUUGAGAAUAUUAAGGUCCUGCAAGUAGAACACCCCAAAGACUUCGUCACUGCUGAAAUCCAUUGUCUAAAGAAGACUGUGAACACAGCAAAAGAUGAGUUUCCCAGGCUCUGGAGAUGCAGGAUGUGGUGUUUGGUAAUACUAAACUGUUUCAUGUAUUUUUGAUGUGAAACUACAAGCUACAGUUCUUAGAUAUUAAGAUUUUUUGAAUCUGUACAACUCAGUGCUGUUUCAGGAAAUGCCAACAGCUCCACCUUGAAGUGGCACUGGAGAGUACAAGCUGAUUUUGUAUCAUAGCCAGCAAUGUGUGCGUGCAGGCUCUUCACGUGUAUGUCCAUGGAGGCAAUCUACAUCGGCAAGAGAGGCAUUGACAAAUGAUAUUGGCUGUCCUUCCUGAAGAUAUAGUAAUAUUUUCGUUAGUAGAAUAAAGUCUAGUUAACAAUGUUGUGAAUGAAAUUAAAUGCAACUUAAUAUAAACUGUGUUUCCAUCUGAUGGCUGUAAAACAGUAUUAAAUGUUUAUUUGAUCAAUACACACUGUUUCCUAUGUACAGUAUCGUUCAGACGGAAUGUCCAAGUUUAAACUGAUUUACAUAGAUUAUUAUUUUCCAUCCCCUGACUUGACUAGUUGUAAUUUUAAACCUGGUUCAACUGGCUACAUAAUGUCAUCGACUAUGUGUGCUUAUAUACUUCAAAACGUAUGUGCUUUGCCUUGUUUAUAGGUUUAUUGCACUCAGAAAAAACUUCCAAAAUCUUUACAGGGGGUCUAGAAAAAUGUUUUUUGGAUAACUGGGAGACUAUUGCAUGAAAUCUGCGCUGGCUGCUGCACUACGUCCUUAUGCAAAAUUGGUGGCUUCUUUUCUGAAUUAAGUGAUGGAAUGACGUGGUGAGGUAUUGGUUUGAGAGAGGAGGUAACGUCAAAGGGAAAGGAGGUGCUCUGGCAUAUGUAAGAUGAAAAAAAAAAGAGGGUAUUCCUGAAAGAAGAAUGCACAUCAGUCAAAGGCAUCAAUAAAUAAAGCUCUUUUUCAUAUGUAAAUGGGAAUUUAUAAAGUAAAGAAGUCUUGUCGUCUUGAAGAGAUUGUAAGGUAGACCGAUAGUAACAUGGCCGACUGAUCUGCUGCUGGCAUGGAGGUAUGCUGGGGAGGGAGGACCUCAUUUUUACACAGUAUCGUGUAGGCAAGAGGAAGAAAUGUGGAUCCUGUUUCUGCUCCCAGCUUCUACUGGUUAUAAUGUGGUUCCACUCACACCAUUAAGGUCCAUAUUUCAGAACUAUCCAAGAGUUAGUCUGGGUUUUGUUGCCCAGAUUGAUACAUCAGAGAGUCUGAGCAUCAUUAAAUUUAAGUGAAGCUGAGGGAACGCAGGACUUCUGAAGUCGCUCCGCCUCUGUAAUAAAAAAUAAAACCAAAACGAAGGGAAAUUUCUGGAAAUGCUACAUCACAUGAACCUCUCUGCCUUGUUUUUAUUGAAUGGAAAUGCUACAUAACUACUGCAAGGAGGCUGAGACGGAAACUGGACCAGAAGCAUUAACCAGCUCAAAUGAGAAAUACAAACUAAAAACCUGUCUGUCCGUUUUGGAAACAUGCAGAUAAUGUGUAUGUCACUUGAAAUUCACAUGCAUUUGGGAUCUGCUAAGAAAAGUAAUAUACAGCAAUGAUAUCUUUGAUCAUCGAGAGAACUCAGAAACAUAGGAACUGUGUCGAGUGUGGUUAUCAUCAACCCAUUUUCUAUUCCCAGUGCACAAAUCAUUUCAUGCAUUCUACAACCCAAGCCACGAUGCUGGGCUUCAAAAGCAAUUUCAGCAGCAAAAUAAGGUGCUUUUCUUCAAUUUUCAAGCCAUUUGUACGAGGUAACAUUCAGGAACAACUCUGAAAGUGAUCUGUCUAUAGGCCUAAUCCGUUUGAGCCAGUGGUCACCUUGGAUGAUAUCCUGCCCCGUACUGUCAAGGCAGCAUACACCUCUGUAUGAACCUGGAAAACUUAUGCUGUUGAAUGCUUUUUAAAGUAGGGAUUGACCAAAUAAUAUCCAGAACUACAGUACUGGCCAUGAAAGUGAAUCAUGAAUUGCAGAGAACGAAAGGUAACUCCGUUUCUUUCCAGAUUUGUGUAUAC